rnacentral:rRNA from 1 species
AUUGAACGCUGGCGGCAGGCCUAACACAUGCAAGUCGAGCGGAGCGGCGGACGGGUGAGUAAUGCCUAGGAAUCUGCCUGGGAGUGGGGGAUAACGUCCGGAAACGGGCGCUAAUACAGCAUACUAUCAGAUGAGCCCAGGUCGGAUUAGCUAGUUGGUGGGGUACAGGCCUACCAAGGCGACGAUCCGUAACUGGUCUUAGAGGAGGAUCAGUCAGUCUGGAACUUGGACCCGCUCCAGACUCCUACGAGAGUCGUCAGUUUGGAAGAUUGGACAUUGUGCGAAAGCCUGAUCCAGCCAUGCCGGUUGUUGGAAGAAGUUCUUCGGAUUUUAAAGCACUUUAAGCUGAGAGUCGUUACCAUCAGAAUAAGCACCGGCUAACUUCGUGCCAGCAGCCGCGGUAAUUC